GGAAGGGUGGCAGAGCGGCUGAAUGCACCGGUCUUGAAAACCGGCGAAGGUAACACUUCCGUGGGUUCAAAUCCCACCCCUUCCGCCA
rnacentral:tRNA from 1 species